AUCCGCGUUGGCGGUGCGCGUGCCCCAGAGUUGGCCACAAGUCAUACCCGCGAGCAAAAGACCGCGGACGAGGCCUCUCGGUAGAUGGAGCUCGAAUCGCUUGGCGAGAUGCGGCAUCGCCGAGAUCGUCGCCUGUUCCGGGCGCUCGCCUCCGUACAGACUGCCACUGGUGUGUCCAGGCUCGACAACGUGCAGGUUUUCGAGAACGUCUGGGAGUCGUCGGUACAAGGACAGUAGCCGUUGCUGUUCUGCAUUCGUUACCGUGACCGACGACGUGCGGUACUCCUGCCGCUCAAAUGGCGUGGUGGUCUCCACCGAAAUCACAUUGCCAUACCGGUCGAAUGCGGCAACCGUCUUCGGUCGUGUGUGCUCCAGCACCUGCUCCGUUCCGUCGUCAUCCCUGCCACCUGGCUGAUCACCAGCGACAUGGGCAGGGCGUAGACGCACGGGCACCAGCGACUGGAGCUCUAGUUCCAGACGGCGCCAGUCAGUCUCGGGAAGCGCGGGCCACAGCCAAGGUGUCGCGGAGCCCGCGCUCUCCUCGUCCGCCGACCGCUGAGGCCACACCAGCUGCAGGACACGCUCUGGCGCCCGGUCCAAGGCGUGGAGCAGGAGCAGGAAGCGCGCCGACGCGAUCCACACGGGCACAUGCUCAAGCCAAUCCGCGUAGCCACUCCAGAUCGAAAGCUCGCUGGAGCGCGCAGUCUGAGUACGGUCGCGGAUCUCCGGCAGCGCCAUUAGCGCCUGCAGCGGCAUGGCCGCCGCACCGGCACGCACAGGAAUUUUGGCAUACUCGGUGCCUGCCAAGAGCGUCUUCAACGGGUCCAUGGAUGCGGUUUGUGCGAGCACGAUGCCCCGCGGUAGCUCUUCAGUUGGCUGUGAACGGAGCAUGGUUAAAACGUGCUCAGCGCAUUUCCACUUGGCGAGUUGCGCUCGCCGGGUUUGGCCAGCCCACGUAGUCCGAUGGACAAUCUUCACAAACAGUCGCCCUGUCGACGUCUCCCAUAUCCAGAUAACACCGUUCGCAUGUGGCCUGUACGCAGUGCGAUCAUCCACGAUCCAGAGGCGUUGCCGCCACAAGUCGCCGCCGCACCCCACGAGCAGAGGUAUCGUAUCGGAAGCCGAUGUCGUAGUCGUCGCCGCCUGCAGCGUCUCGCUUUCCACCGUCUCCAUGACGUAGAGCUGAAGCGCUUUGCGAAUGCGUUCACGAAGGAGCGCGAGUGCCUGGUUAUGCAUAAGCAUCCGGCGCGAUUCCUCGGUCACGAUCGACACGACGCCCAUGGCGCAGGCGUGCCCAAAAGCAGACCACUCGCCGUAGGCUAGAUCAAAGACCACGACCAGUCCAUGGUGAGACGGGUACAGACUCGACGCUCCCGGUGCUGUAUACGCCCGAAAUUUUUGCGCUGCGUAUUGCGCGGCAUCAUGGUCGUCGUAGUCGCCCCAACGGAGCUGGACAUCAAUCCAAUAGAUUUUGGCUGCCGCGUCGCUACCUGGCGGCCGCAGCGACGAUCGCCCUUGACCGCCCGCAUUGGAUUCGAAGGCGACGGCCUCGUCCACGGGCAAGGCGUCACCGGACACGAGAAUCGGUUGCUCGAAAUCGAUUCUAAUAUCCGCGCUGCUCCAGUGCAUGCGAUAAGACUUGCGCGGAUGGAUUCGUUCCUUCUGCACCGUGACCGCAACACGCGCCUCGCGCGAGCGCGCCCCCAGCUCUGUAUCCAAUGCUUUGCACAAAUCAAGUACCAGACUUUCAUGAAUACGCUGCCAGAGAUGGCCUCGGAACACCUGCAAAAGGC